rnacentral:lncRNA from 1 species
AACAAAAGUUUUCAAACAUUAAAACUAAAAUGUUCGAGUUGUGCCAAAUAAUGGAAAGGUAAUUGUGGUGAAGAAACCCCACUUUUACAAAAUGUUUAAGUACUCUAAGGUGAAUAAAACAUGGACUAAACAAUUAUUUAAAUGCUUUUAAAAAUAAUAAACAAUUACGAACUAUCUUAUUUUAGGUGCCAAAAUUAAUUGUGACAGUGGCAUAAUUAAUAAUACUAUUUUAGAUGCAACUUUUGUAUUUUNNNNNNNNNNNNNNNNNNNNNNNNNNNNNNNNNNNNNNNNNNNNNNNNNNNNNNNNNNNNNNNNNNNNNNNNNNNNNNNNNNNNNNNNNNNNNNNNNNNNNNNNNNNNNNNNNNNNNNNNNNNNNNNNNNNNNNNNNNNNNNNNNNNNNNNNNNNNNNNNNNNNNNNNNNNNNNNNNNNNNNNNNNNNNNNNNNNNNNNNNNNNNNNNNNNNNNNNNNNNNNNNNNNNNNNNNNNNNNNNNNNNNNNNNNNNNNNNNNNNNNNNNNNNNNNNNNNNNNNNNNNNNNNNNNNNNNNNNNNNNNNNNNNNNNNNNNNNNNNNNNNNNNNNNNNNNNNNNNNNNNNNNNNNNNNNNNNNNNNNNNNNNNNNNNNNNNNNNNNNNNNNNNNNNCGCGCCGAGGAACCGUCGCCUACCGCCAUCGCCCGACGCCACCCGGAGUUACCUCUCCGUCGAGUUGCUGCCCCGUCGCCGGAUCCUGCAUCCCCAACUCCUCCCCGAGCCCCGCUGCCUUGACCCUACGGAUCCGGGAUGAGGCCCCCGGCCUCUCUUCCUCUCUGCUCCUCGCGCCGUCCUGCAGUCGUGCACGCGCCGCUCGAUGCUCGUGCUCGCGGUGAGCACGCGCGCACCCGCGCGUUACCCGCGUGCCAGCCUCGCUUUGCUAUCGACGUCGUCCGCACGCCGCUCGCCUCCCGGGCCGCUACCCCCACUGCAGCGCACCUGCUCUGCUCCUAUCGCUUGCUCGCCUGGGGCACGCUCCGGCCUCCCCGGCCACGCGCCCGCCUGGGCCUCGGCUGCCCAGGGCCACGGCUCCGCAGCUCGCACUCGCCAUCGCCAUCGCCGCCGCGCUGCGCUCGCCUCCUCCCCUGCAUGCCGCUCAGGGCCGCGCCCAGCGCACCCCUGCACGCACCUCGGGCGCGAUGCCCGCACUCCUGCCCCCGUGCGGCCGCCUUACUCCGCCUGCUCACAGUGGGCGUGCUCUGACGACCACCCUCGCCUUUACGGCCUCGCCGCACCCCCUGGUGGCUCGGGCGUGCGGGGACCCCUUCGCCCCACUGCCCGCUACGCCCACCCGAACUUGCUAUGGCCCUUAGGGCCUAUGACGUAUGGGCCCCGCCCACAGAACGUUUAAUAAAAAACAUUUUUAAAAUAAUAAUAUAUAGAUACAUAUAUAUUAAUUAAUGAAUUAAAUUAAAUUAAUUAACUUAAUUAAUCCUGAUUAGAUUAACCUAAUUAACUAGUUAACCUGAUUAAGUGUGAUUAAUUAACUAACAGUGAAUGACAUGCGGGACCCACACGUCAGUUUGACUAAGACAACACCCUGUUGACUGCUGACGUCAUGCUGACAUCAUGAUGACAUCGGCAAACACUAUUCUGGAUAAUGUUGAAUUAAAAUAAUUAUAUAAAUGCUGAAAAUGAUUUAAAUUUUUUAAAAUUAAUAUAAAGUAAACCGUAGCUCGGAUGAAAAUACUUUGUACAUGAAAGUUGCUCAGAACGACGAGACGAACCCGGAUACGCAGCCCGUUCGUCCGCCACACUUCCUUAGCAUAGGAAACUCGCAACUUUCCCCCUCCGGUUCAUCUGUCCGAAAACGCGAAACAUUGGGAAUACUUUCCCGGAUGUUUUCCCCCCUUCGCCAGUAUCGCCUAGUACCGCGUUAGGUCACCCUAGCACGGAGUAUUGCCAUGUUAUGCCUUGUGUUGCUUUGAUUGAUCUUUUAGUUAUUGUGUUCCCCAUCCGUUAUUUCUUUCCGGUAGACCCCGAGACUGCCGGCGACCCCCAGUUCGACUACGGUGUUGGCGACCCUUCCUUCUUGCCAGAGCAACCAGGCAAGUCCCCCUUGAUCACCAGAUAUAGCCUAUUCCUUCUCUAUACUGCUUGCAUUAGAGUAGCGUAGCAUGUUACUGCUUUCGGUUAAUCCUAUUCUGCUGCAUGGCCUGUCAUUGUUGCUAAUUUUGUUGAUACCUUUACCUGCAAUCCUAAAUGCUUAGUAUAGGAUGCUAGUAUUCCAUCAGUGGCCCUACACUCUUGUCCGCCUGCCAUGCUAUACUACUGGGCCGUGAUCACUUCGGGAGGUGAUCACGGGCAUAUGAUAUAUACUUUAUACUGUUACAUUACUUAUGAUACUGUUCGGAGAUGGGGGCUGAAGGGGCAGGUGGCUCCAUCCCGGUAGAGGUGGGCCUGGGUUCCCGACGGCCACCGACUAUUACUUUGUGGCGGAGCGACAGGGCAGGUUGAGACCACCUAGGAGAGAGGUGGGCCUGGCCCUGGUCGGCAUUCACGGAUAGUUAACACGCUUAACAAGAUCUUGGUAUUUGAUCUGAGUCUGGCCACUGGCCUAUACGCACUAACCAACUAGCAGGAACAGUUAUGGGCACUCGGCGUCGUGGUAUCAGCCGAAGCCUUCGUGACGUCAACGACUGAGCGGCGCGCGCCGGAUUGGACUGGAACGCCUGCCAGGCUAGGUCUGCUUCCGGCCACCCACACAACAUGCAGGUGUGCAAUGGGCGAUGUGCCCAGACCCCUGCGCCAUAGGAUUUAGACCGGCGUGCUGACCUCACUGUUGUGCCUAGUUGGGGCUACGACGUGUUGAUCUUCCGAGGCCGGGCAUGACCCAGGAAAGUGUGUCCGACCAAAUGGGAUCAAGCGUGUUGGGUAAUGUGGUGCACCCCUGCAGGGAAGUUUAUCUAUUCGAAUAGCCAUGAUCUUCGGUAACAGGACGACCCGGAGUUGUACCUUGACCUUAUGACAACUAGAAACGGAUACUUAAUAAAACACACCCUUCCAAGUGCCAGAUAUAACUCGGUGAUCGCUCUCACACAGGGCGACGAGGAGAGGAUCCCCGAGUAGGAUUAUGCUAUGCGAUGCUACUUGGUGAACUUACCAUCUACUCUCUUCUACAUGCUGCAAGAUGGAGGCUGCCAGAAGUGUAGUCUUCGACAGGACUAGCUAUCCCCCUCUUAUUCUGGCAUUCUGGAGUUCAGUCCACCGAUAUUGCCCCUUUACACAGAUACCCAUGCAUAUGUAGUGUAGAUCCUUGCUUGCGAGUACUUUGGAUGAGUACUCACGGUUGCUUUUCUCCCUCUUUUCCCCCUUCCAUUCUACCUGGUUGUCGCAACCAGAUGCUGGAGCCCAGGAGCUUGACAUCACCGUUGACGACGACUCCUACUACACCGGAGGUGCCUACUACUACGUGCAGGCUGCUGACGACGAUCAGGAGUAGUUUAGGAGGAUCCCAGGCAGGAGGCCUGCGCCUCUUUCGAUCUGUAUCCUAGUUUGUGCUAGCCUUCUUAAGGCAAACUUGUUUAACUUAUGUCUGUACUCAGAUAUUGUUGCUUCUGCUGACUCGUCUAUGAUCGAGCACUUGUAUUCGAGCCCUCGAGGCCCCUGGCUUGUAUUAUGAUGCUUGUAUGACUUAUUUAUGUUUAUAGAGUUGUGUUCGGAUAUCUUCCCGUGAGUCCCUGAUCUUGAUCGUACAUGUUUGUGUGCAUGAUUAGUGUACGAUUGAAUCAGGGGCGUCACAAGUUGGUAUCAGAGCCGACUGCUUGUAGGAAUCCCCCUUCCACACUCCUUGGCUGAAGUUGAGUUUAGUCGAUCAAAACUGUUUUACUAACAUGGCUGUGCAGCCCAUGGGCCCACGUCGCCAUUGGGUGGUAGUAGGAUCUUUUAUUCCUCGACCUAUACUCUGGGACUCUGAUCUCUCUUCUAUUCGGGUUAAAAUGAAUUUACAAACUCUGACUCUAGGUUCUCGUAACUACUUCCACCCGGAGAGCCCCUUAUUACCGAUGACCGCCUGCUGCACCAGAAGAUUCCGAAGAUAAUCUACGAUGUGCUCUCGAGACUAUGUGCCAUCGCUUCCAUCGAUAAACCCCUAUGGAUAACCACGUACACUUGCCAUUCAUACAAUCAUGCCCCGUUGAUCUUGUUAUUACAAGCCUUGAAAUUCUUUUUAUUAUGUCGAGAAUACUUUGUGCUUACUGCUUUGCAGUUCUUUGCAACCUGAAUACCCCUAUGGAUAUUUUCUCGCUCUUAUCGAGUAUCCGCUCAUCCCCAGUUGAUUCAUGCAUUUCACAAAAGUCUUCGAAAUACCAUUCGAUCUUUCAAAAAUCCUCAACAGCUUGAAAUUUUUGCUUGCUUGCAUUAGGAUUAAUCCCAUAAGUCUGGUAAUCGUAUUGUCAUCCUUUGUCAUUAUCAUUUUGACUCAGUUGAUUCAAUGUGUUGCGAAUGCACGCAAUCCUCAAUCAGAUCCUAGAAUUCAUCCUUCUGGCUCAGACAUACUUUUAAACAUGAGCUGGAUCUCGACCAAUCAAAUUGCCAUCGAUUGUACCCCUAAGGCUAUUCAACUUAUCCAUCCCUAAUGAGAGCAUUGCUUCUGAUCCCUUGUCUUGUAAUUCAUAAUUCCUUUGCAAUUGAGCUUUGAAUUAGUCAGUUGUUUCUAUCAUCUGAUCUCCUUGCAUUCUUUCUUCUUCUGGUUGAGUACCGAUGCUCACAUCGAAUCUCUUAUGGACCACUAGAUCCUUUGUUGGAUUUUAUCCGACAGCGUCCUUCGUAUUCAAUAAGCUUGUGAGCCUUUCCUAGGGUAAAUAAUGCCUUUGGUAAAUUAUAUCCUUUGCUUGUCAACCAUGCUCCACCCCCAAGCUUGAGUUAUUCGCUCCUGAAGUUUGUGGUAUAUGUUCCUAAGAGGCCCAGAUGGGUUGAACCUAUGCCUUUUUGAAUCAGUGUGAACCCGGAAACUACUACGGGUCAUACUCUACUGGUGUUAUGUUAGAUAAAAUUUCAAUACUACAACUAAUGUCAUUUUCGAAAUACGAGAGGUGAAUGAAAGGUUAUGCGUUGAACAAGUGGGAGUCGACCUUGAACCCUGUGUUCAUGCCCGUGGACAUGAUGUAUACCUUAUCAUGGAAGCUUCUCUUAAAAUAAUUAUGCCGUUGUUAUAAGUUCAUCUUGUAUCUGUGGACGUGGUUCCGACCAUGUUUAUCCUUGAUUCCAUUUCUCGUGCAAGUUUGAGCACUUGUCUUCUGCAGAGCAUUACCCUAGUCCAACCUCUACUUUGAUCUGUCGUCGAGUAUUACCCCCUAGUAUCUCGAGAUUAUCACAUAACUGCAUAACCUCUUAUGAGUUCUUCAUCAAGUACUACAUCCUCACUGAUUCCAAUUUUUCACGGGCUCCGAUUUAUUAAACACUGAAAGACACCGAUAACUGAACCGAGUCCGCAUUAAGGUUCAACAACUCUUACUAAUAUUCUUUACUUAUGAGUUUCUACCCGAUCAUGUCAUUCCUAGCCUGAUCGGCUAUAUCAUUAUCGUGCUAAAUCUUAACUGUGCUACCUCGACCUUCUUCCCGGAACACAAUUUUUGACGCUGAGCUAAGCUUAUGUUGAUUUCCUUGUCUUAUCAUUCCACCUCGAACAACAAGCUUGGUUUCGAGUUUGUGUCAUACUCAUGGUUCCAAUAACCUUCCGAUUCAUCAUUCCUUUGACUUGAUGUCAUCGCGGAUUGAUUACACCUACAUGAAAUCUCUCGACAAUUGUGUCGUGAUCAUCAUCAACAUUUUGAGCUCUUCAAGGAUAUCGAUCGAAUUCAUGCUGAGAAAUACCAUCAUUUCCCCUCGAUGAAUUGUGUUAUCAUCAACAACAAUAUUGCCUUCCCUCCAACACAAAGUUGUUCAUGUUAUGAAGCUCCUUGCUAUCCAUCUUAUGUUAUUUCUACCUUGGAGUAUUACCAUCUAUUAUGUCAAGAACGAUGUGAGAAUUGCUCCACCUCUUAAAAAAUUCUUGAUAUAGUAAUACUUAUUGCCAUCUCCAUUCAUUUCUUGGUCUCCGUUCUGUUUCUAACCGGAAUACCGACAAAUGGUCUGUGAUGUGUAAAUUCAAAACUUCUAGCAACCCUAUUGCUUUGACGUUAAUGGUCGAUAGCUUCGUUAUAAGUCUAUUGCUUAUUGAAUCAUCAUUCGAACAUUGAUCGUGCAACCUAGUCCAGAUUUCCGGGUGCACCUUUCUAUCAUUGUUCAAUCGUGUGUGUUUUCAUCGAACAUCCAUCAUUAUAUCAUUUGAUCUGACUAAUGUUAUCUCCUUGUUCACAUAAAUGUGGAAAUCCAUCUUCUGGAAAUCUUGUUGGAUUGUUGCUGAGUUCAUCAGCCACCUCCUCAUUCUUUCCUUGGUUUAAUGAUGAACUAUUGUUCCAGAACUCGCUUCCAUAGUUCAUGUCCCGAGAAUCUUACAAUAUCAUCUCGCUUAAUUUGUGUCGCACCCUUUUCUUCUCAGGCAUCUUGAGUCUGAGGUAUCCCGACGCCAAUCGAAUCUGAACCUCGGUCAGAAAUGAUGGUUGGAAUAUAUUUCCAACAGUUAUAGCAUUGGUCUUUUUAUGACCCGAUAAGGUGAUGUCAUGCCUAGCACACCUGGCCGGAGGACCUAUUGUUAUAGUUUCCUUUUAGCAAGGUUAUCUAUUCUUCCAUGAAGAAAUGGUAAGACUUAUUCUAUAAGUUGUUCCUGAUGGAUCCUUUGUGAACAAAGUCUGAUCUUUACCCAAUGACCAUGCCAAUUCUAUAUCUAAGCAUGUCUGUGGUACUCCGAUUUUCAGCAAAGCCCAAUGCUAAAUGUUUCCUGCUCAAUUAUCCAAACACCGCCGUAUGGGUAAUGGCAUGAAAUUUCUCUCCCCUUUCCUAAAGGGUUUUCUACGUUAUAUCCCGUCAUGGAUAUCAUGCUCUGUUUGUCCUUGGGAAGGAUAUACCCUUGAAAUAUGUGUUUAAACACAUUUUCCUUUCCAUUGUUCCGUUUAAUCUGAUGAUCACCUUUUUCUUUCAAUUUUUUUGUUUAAACCUUUCUUGUGAUCUAUAUGAUCUAAGCAGUAAUAAAUCACUGCUUAUGUAAACACCUCGGUGUACAACUCUGUUAGUAAGACCCUGUAGCAUUCCGGUAGCCACCGAUGGACGAGAACUUUGCCUAUUGGUCCGCCUCGUUCAACGAGCAGGAAAAUGGUUCUCUUCGUCCCUAGCCCUUGGUACCGACGUUGUUGCCGACAUAAUCGACAGGCUACCCUCCGACCUGCCUUGCUAUCAUAACCAUGCAAGAUGUCACCGCUCCUCCUACUUUUAACCCACAUGGUGGGCCCAUAACCCACAGUUCCACAGGAUCGAAACCUAACUCUUACAUCCUUGAUUCUCAAGUAUCCUUUGCACUUAACUUCGUAUGUAAUUCACGAGUCACCUUCCUACAGAUGAUCUGUUCUGGUAUCAGACGCAAUACUUAUUCUCUUUUCUCUAGACCCCUUUCACACUUUGUUUCAGGCAUCGAACGAUUGCCUGCCCGCUCGAAACUUCCCAUGAUACCUCCUUACUUUGCUCUCUAUAUGUUCUUAAGUUUCAAUUCGAGAGUUACUUCCGCCACCUUCCUCGAUGUUAUCGACCAGAUAGUCGACCUUGCAGAGGUCUGUUCUCCCGGAAUGCCCACCCUUUAUUCUUUCGUAAGUACGAUGGAGGUCCCGAAGAAAGGAUGUCGACUUCAUCAUGAUGACCUGAAGCAGAGAAAUGAAGACAUCAAUGUAUUGGACCAGCCUCUUCAAGAAGAGCAAGCCAGAAUGAGAGGACCCACUAGAUUCGUUACCAAACCUUCCCCCCUUUCACUACCUAUUAAAUCUCGGGACGAGCUUUCUUGUAAAUGGAGGAGAAUUGUGACGCCCAGAUAAUCAAGCUACAGUAACCUCUGCUAAUGCUGCCACUUCACCUCGGUUACUGUUGCUAAUCUCACGUUGGAUCAAAACUGAUUCAAAUUCAAAAUUUAAUUGAAGGCAAACAACAGAAGUUUUCAAACAUUAAAACUAAAAUGUUCGAGUUGUGCCAAAUAAUGGGAAGGUAAUUGUGGUGAAGAAACCCCGCUUUUACAAAAUGUUUAAGUACUCUAAGGUGAAUAAAACAAGGACUAAACAAUUAUUUAAAUGCUUUUAAACAUAAUAAACAAUUACGAACUAUCUUAUUUUAGGUGCCAAAAUUAAUUGUGACAGUGGCAUAAUUAAUAAUACAAUUUUAGCUACAAAUUUUGUAUUUUGUAAAAUUAAAAUUAAAUAAAACAGAAAAGAAAAAAAAGAAAAAAA